UAGAUAUCAGUUUUACAUCUGUAUGUAUGACAGGCAGAUAUCAGUUUUACUUCUGUAUUUAUACCUGUGAUGUUUAUGUAUAGGUAUGACAGGGAGAUAUCAGUUUUACUUCUGUAGGAAUGACGGGUAGAUAUCAGUUUUACAUCUGUAUGUAUGACAGGUAGAUAUCAGUUUUACUUCUGUAUAUUUAUACCUGUGGUGUUUAUGUAUUGGUAUGACAGGUAGAUACCAGUUUUACUUCUGUAUAUAUACCUGUGGUGUUUCUGUAUACGUAUGACAGGUAGAUAUCAGUUUUACUUACGCAUAUACCUGUAGUAUUUAUAUAUAGGUAUGACAGGAAGAUAUCAGUUUUACUUCUGUAUAUAUACCUGUGAUGUUUAUGUAUAGGUAUGACAGGUAGAUAUCAGUUUUACAUCUGUAUAUAUACCUGCAGUAUUUAUCGGUAUAACAGGUAGAUAUCAGUUUUACUUACGCACAUACCUGUAGUAUUUAUAUAUAGAUAUGACAGGUAGAUGUCAGUUUUACCUUCGAAUAUACCUGUAGUAUUUAUAUAUCAGUAUGACAGGUAGAUAUCAGUUUUACCUCAGUAUAUAUAAAUAUAUAAGUAUUUAUAGUUGUGUGAGGUGAUAUUGGAUUUGUUUCUGUAUAUAUUUCAUGUUUAACUCAACAGUUUAUGGUCAUAACUUUUAAGUGUUGUGUUUUAUAUACAUAAAUAUAUACGACAUAGUACAUGUAUCUAUACCAUUAAAGUUUUGUGAAUUAUGUGCAUGUACAUGUUUUAAAUAACAUAUGCAAGUCUGUAACGUUAUUCUGCUGAUUAAUAUUAAACAGCAUCAUAAAUCAGCUUUGGCAACAUAAAUAACUACUGAUGUAAUUUAAUGACAGACUGUGUUGAAGUGAAUUUGGUUUUGAAAAUUUGCAAAAUGUCCCAUUACUACAUCAAAAUGUCAAUUGUUGUGUCAGAUACACACUUCUAGUCCUAUCUGUUAUAUGUAAUAGUAGUACUCAACUGACAGAAGAUCCUGGCAUAAUAUUUACACAUAUCAUCAGGACAUUUUACAAUAUACAUAUGAAGUGUAAAAAUUGAGUCAAAUACAUGUAACCAGAUGAAGUAAAAAUAUAUGUUUCUGAAGUUGAAAUCGUGUAAAAAUAUGAAGGGAGACAAACUUGGAAGCUUGUUAGUUCUGAAAUAGGGAUUUCAAAUGUGUAUCUAAUCCUCCAUUUCUAACCAGCAUCCCAAGACUGAUGAUCACAGCUCUUACAGAAUAACAUGUCUAGCAUGUUCUGAUGAAUAUUGUGAUUCCUUUAACUCCUUAACUUGAAAAUUACCUUUACUUAAAAUACAGAUACACAAGACUCAAUUUAACAGUGCAUUGAAAAGCAAACUCUAGGACAGCCUUAGAUGUGGAAUAGCAUUUGUGAACAUGAUUAUUCACUAGUAUUUGUAAAAUGAGGUGUUUACAAUCAUAAUGAUUCUUAAAAGACACAAUAUUUUGUUAUAGUUUUCCCUGCUGAAUUCUUUUUGAACUUUUGAAUUCUGAUUGAUUCUCUCCCACAUAAUGUUAACAUAUAGAUGUACAGUACUAUUAAUUGUUAUGCUGUUUGAUACGUCAAGUAAAAUAACAUUUUAUCUAAUAUAACGUAAUUGAAAAUAAUUAUUGUUAAAAUAAAACAUUAUUGUUAUUACACAUUCUGAGGGACAAAUGCAAUGAGAUGUAUUUGUGGUCGAUAUUUUGUUACUGUUCUUGACAUAUUUAUGCAUCACUGUUGUACUAUGGAUGUUGAUGGUUAUAAAUUCUGUGGAAUAAUACAAUGUAAUUUUAGAAACAUUUAAUUAGACAGCCACCAUAUUCUGAUUUGUUUCCAUAGAUAGACCCACCAGUGGUACCAUAAAGCACACUGAAAAGUUGUAUCGCUUCAAAAGAGUAAUAAAAUUUAGUAAGUUAUGUUAUUUUAAAAGUCUGGCCAUGAAACAGUCUCAGACUGAGGUUCACAUUUUAGUUGGUAAUAAAUCAAUAUUUCUGUUGGGAAUUUGUCAAAAUUAUAUAGGAAAUAAGAAAUAUUUACAAUAAGUAUAGAGUAUGUACUGUUCUUUUGAACAGUAUGUACAUGUAGAUCUAUAUAAAACUACAUUGCUAAAUUAGCACUAAAUAUUUCAAGACCAAAUUGUUUCAUGAUCCUACAAACUUCACUAAUUUGUUUCAACCAAAAGAAUAAGCAGGUAUUUGGAACAGGUGAUGCUAAAAUGUACAUUCUGACAAAUAUGACAAGAAUAAUAACCUACUAGUACCAAUACAGGAACAUGAUUCUGUUGGUUACACUAUAUACAAAUCCAUCUUUCACAUGUCAUAUGACUGUUGGUUACAUGGUUACCAAUAACCUCCAUCAGAGCUUAAUGUCUCCAGUUUCUUGGUUUCCUUACAAAACUAUGGUUUUGAGUAACGGGUGUUUUUUUGCCUAAAGGCCAAGUGUCAAGUUGAUCGUACUUAAAAUUUAAUGCUUGAGUGUGGUCAUAGCUAAAACAAAUGAUUUUUAUGAAAAAUGGGUAAUUCCUUGUCGUUGGGGUAGAUAUAGAAAAAUGUAGGAUGCACUUAAUAUAAUUCCACUUUCUCUGGUGUUAUUUGGCGUUCAUGCUCCUUUAGCAAAAAAAAGGUUCACAAACUCGUUAUGAAGGGCUCAAAAUUUUUGUGUUGCAAAAUUGUAAUAGGGACCAAGUGUUACAAUAUUGACCAAUGCCACCUAUGUAUGCAGAGUAGUCUACCAGGGUAGUGACAUAUAACGCUUGGCAAGUGUAUGUUUGGGAUGUAUCAUAACAACAUCAUAAACUGUUGUUCAUAGUUUGGAUGCAGCAAACUACUGAAACAGUAUAUAGUUGGUAUGUAGUGAACUACUGAACCAGUAUAUAGUUGGGAUGUAAGAACUACUGAGCCAGGAUAU